rnacentral:rRNA from 1 species
ACGAACGCUGGCGGCAUGCCUAACACAUGCAAGUCGAACGAGACCUUCGGGUCUAGUGGCGCACGGGUGCGUAACGCGUGGGAACCUGCCCUUAGGUUCGGAAUAACUCCCCGAAAGGGGUGCUAAUACCGGAUAAUGUCUUCGGACCAAAGAUUUAUCGCCUUUGGAUGGGCCCGCGUUGGAUUAGCUAGUUGGUAGGGUAAAAGCCUACCAAGGCGACGAUCCAUAGCUGGUCUGAGAGGAUGAUCAGCCACACUGGGACUGAGACACGGCCCAGACUCCUACGGGAGGCAGCAGUGGGGAAUAUUGGACAAUGGGCGAAAGACUGAUCCAGCAAUGCCGCGUGAGUGAUGAAGGCCUUAGGGUUGUAAAGCUCUUUUACCCGGGAUGAUAAUGACAGUACCGGGAGAAUAAGCUCCGGCUAACUCCGUG